rnacentral:tRNA from 1 species
GCCGGGGUGGUGAAAUUGGCAGACACGUACGGUUUAGGACCUUAUGUCCGCAAGGACGUGCAGGUUCAAGUCCUGUCCCCGGCA